rnacentral:lncRNA from 1 species
GCAAAAUCCUUCAACCCUUCUACACAGACAGAUGUCGCUUUUCUGCCGGUCCCUGCAGUACACCUGUCUGCCCUGGAAAGUACAUUUCUCAGCUGCAGCCCCGCGAGGCCAAGAGCUUGAAGCUGGGUCUUAUGGUUGGGGCUGCAGGUGCUGGGCCUAAGGAGCAUGAAGAGGUGCCCAAGGUUGGGGGAGCGGUCCGAGGUUUGGAGGGCAGACCUCUUGAAGGCAGACGGCAGCCACCAACCACAUCCUGGCUCCCGCACAGACACACCCCCGGGGGGUCGGUGCCGUAGCCCCCAGCCCCUCCUGGGGUAGCCAGCAGCGCCCGCCGGCCGCCAGCCACAGGAGAAAGUAAACACCCCAAGUGUCCGGGAACAAAGGCAAGUUGUCUUCCUACGGUGCCGGAGCCGUGUGCCUCUUCUGAAGAAUAAGAGCUAUUAUUAUUCUUUAUGUCUUAUCCUUUUUUUUUUUUUUUUCAGCCAAGUUUCCUUCUAAGGGAAAUAAACACCAAAGGUAGGAUUCCAAGGAAAUGACUCACGGCGGCUGGCAGGGCUCUGGCGGGGCUGGCCCGGGCCCCCGCGCUCCAGCCCGCAGCAGAUGCCGGCCCGGCCCUCCCUCUCUCGCCGGCCAAGCAGGCUGGAAGCCCGUGGCUGCGGAAGCGCCCUGCGCCCGUGGGACCUGGCGGCGAGGACGCCUCUUGCCUGCUUCUGCGGCCGCAGCCGGGCACUCGGAAAGUUGCUAGGGCCGAAGAGGCGGGAGGGGAAGAAGGGAGGAGAGAAGCGGAGGCGUGGACCAGGCGGGCAGCAGCCUCAGCCCGCCGGGGAGUGAUCCUCCAACUGUGAAAAACCAAACCUCUGGCUGCCUGACUCCCUAGGAAUCAAGAAGCCGCACAGACUGAAAAUCAAGGGAGGAAGGAACAAGAUCAAGGAUGAGGAUUAGCAUCUGCAAAUUGAACUCUAUCUAAUUUGCAUGUUUAUUUCUUAGAAUUGUAAUUAAAUUUGUGUAAUAAAUGUUUCCAUUUCAUUUGUACACUUAAAACUUGGGUGACUGACAUGCAGUUAAGUGAAAUUCCUUUUUUUUUUUUUAAGCAAAUGUAGUUUAUUCAAUAAAGCAGCAAACCAAUAUUAAACAUAAUUAGAAUAAUCUGUUUUAAAGGUGUUUUUGUUGAACUUUGUACAUUACAGACUCUCAGAGGUUUUUAAGGGUAUUAGGAAGCUGAGAGAUGGCAAUUAUGCUGAAAACAGACAAACCCAACAGCCUACCAGGAGCAUUACUUCAUUUUUUCCAGAAGACAUUCCAGGGUUGGAUGCCUAAAAUUGGGAAUUGGGCAUCCAUCUUGGCUUUAUUCUGAACCAUA